UUUGUUAUGCUAUCAAAACUGUUUCAAAGCAUUUCACUUGCUUGAAGAAUGCACUUCUGGACCAAAUUCACUUCACAGGCAAAACUUCUGAUGAUGGUCGUGGUGAAAGAAUUCCCAGAUUUUGGGCAGCUGAUGAGCAAAACCAAAAUCCAAGUCUCAACAUCAGUUUUCUUCAACAUCCUGUUUGGAGAUCUCAAAGAGGACUACCAGAUCAUGCAGUAGCUGUCCUUAAGGCAUGG
rnacentral:misc_RNA from 1 species